rnacentral:rRNA from 1 species
UUGGCUCUCGCAUCGAUGAAGAACGCAGCGAAAUGCGAUAAGUAAUGUGAAUUGCAGAAUUCAGUGAAUCAUCGAAUCUUUGAACGCACCUUGCGCUCCUUGGUAUUCCGAGGAGCAUGCCUGUUUGAGUGUCAUUAAAUUCUCAAUCCUCUCUGGGUUUUCUCAGUUAGGAUUGGAUAGUGGGGGCUUUGCUGGCUUGAAUAAGGUCAGCUCUCCUAAAAUACAUUAGCAAGACUCUUGUUGCAGCCUUCUAUAUGGUGUGAUAAUUAUCUACAUCAUAGAUUGUAUGCAGUAAUAAAAAAGUCAGGCUUCUAACCGUCCAUUGACUUGGACAAACUAAUUGACAAAUUUGACC